CGGAUCGUAAAGCUCUGUUGCCAAGGAAGAACGUCUUCUAGAGUAACUGCUAGGAGAGUGACGGUACUUGAGAAGAAAGCCCCGGCUAACUACGUGCCAGCAGCCGCGGUAAUACGUAGGGGGCAAGCGUUGUCCGGAAUUAUUGGGCGUAAAGCGCGCGCAGGCGGUUCUUUAAGUCUGGUGUUUAAACCCGAGGCUCAACUUCGGGUCGCACUGGAAACUGGGGAACUUGAGUGCAGAAGAGGAGAGUGGAAUUCCACGUGUAGCGGUGAAAUGCGUAGAUAUGUGGAGGAACACCAGUGGCGAAGGCGACUCUCUGGGCUGUAACUGACGCUGAGGCGCGA
rnacentral:rRNA from 1 species